UGAGGUUCUUUUUCUUCUCACCACAAACUAAUCUUCUUCCAAAAAGAAACACACAUUCUCAUUACACCUAUUUAUCUUGGACAAAUAGAGUCUCUCUCUCUAACCUUUCCCUCUCCCACUAUCAGUAUGCAUGUGUACAUACAUGCAAGUUGUUUCAGUAAUGCCCAUUACCAUAAAAUAAAUCAAUGGCCAUCCCAUCUCAUCCCAUCUUAAGUUGUAUUAUAAACUCCACUGAUACAUUAUAAAGUGCCAACUUCCUACAGUGAGAUGCUGACUUUGUAAGGAAAAGAUAAAAUCCCUAGCAUAAGGGAUGUUGCUGAAUACAUCUUAUUGAAUUUGAGAACUAAGCUAGGAAAAAAAGGGGUCACUUCAGCCACUGCUCAGAUAGCAGUAGAGAAGAGAUGUGUAUAUCCCUGAUUCCAGUAGUUCUGCAGACGACCACUGCAUCUGCUUUUCAUGAUGUGGAGCUUGGGUUGUGGAGAUGAGAACCUAAUGAAAACAAUAACUCCAAUGUGAGAAGAAAACUUGCUGUAUUUUACAAUAGAUCUGAAGCCUCCGUCUUGCUGUUUAAAGGAGCUGAAUGUUCCUUUUGCCAUCCCUCUGGCUUAUUUCUACUGCUGAUCUCUGCCCAUGUUGAAGUCUUGUUAAGCUGAUCUGGCUGUGUGGACAGCUGAAUGUAGUUAGGAGGACCUUGCCUCAUGUUCACGGCUAAUGCUGUAGAGCAGAAUGACUCCUUUACGGUGUUUUUAAGUUGGCCAUUUUUUUCCCCUACUGGAGCUCUUUGAAGACUUGAGCUUGACCUUUGGUAGAUUUUGGAGGAAAUAGGGGUUAUAAAUUUAGUCUCUAUGCCUGACAGAGUAGAAUGCUGCACAGUUGGUGACUUAAGACAAUGUAGAUUUGUUUCUGCUUAGCAAUCACAAGUCUAUAGAUGGACAGGGCUAUAUCUAGAUGUGCAGCCCACUAAAUGUGUGUAUUUGAAGUUUGUCUUCAUGUGAUAAGGCAACCUCUUCCUUCUCACACCCACCUCUGCCACCAUAUCCACACCUAGUCCCAGAUCUUCUCUCAAACAGGCUUCCUUCACUAGCACUCUUUGCCUGGAAAAGGCUCUCCCAUCUUCCAUACAUCUUUCUACUCACCACCAUUUUCUUAUGCAAGACUGGCUCCAGACAUUCAGCACUUGCGUUUGAGCUAAGCUAAGGCAGACCAGAAUCUCACACCAGAUACAGCCAAAAAGGGAUCCACAAACCCACACCGUGUUGCAAAAACAAACAAUGGUCAAGACAGAAUGUCUCCCAUUAAAUCCACUAGUCCUAUAGAAAUGUUCUCUAAUAAGAUUUACCCAGGUAAGCCUUGAAUAGAAUUAAAAAAAAAUAGUAAAUGUUAUCAAAGAAGUCAAUGAGUUUAAAGAUGACAUCAAUAUAUACCUUAUUGGACUUCUUGAAUAUGUCACUGGAUAAGAUCUAAGAAAAUAUAGAUAUAAGGCUGAAUAAAAUGACA
rnacentral:lncRNA from 1 species